UCAGCUGGGGCCAAGUGGUUUUAGGAUUUGUUUCCUAUCAACCCUAUCCCAUUAUAAAUUAACUUUGGAUUGAGUUUAUGCUCUUGGUUGUGAUCUCUUAAUAGUCUGCAGGUUGGAAUUGGCAGAGUGUACUUAAGCCCUACCCCUAACACAUGCCUUGUAAAUCACAGACCACGUCUGGAGGGAAGGGAGGCAGGUACAAAGCAUCUGGCUGCUCCAGUUUUAUCUUUGCUAAAACAAGCGUUAGAUUGUUUUUUCUUCUUCGCUCGGUAGCAAUGCUCACUAAUUUGGUUCCCCUCUUCGCUGCGGCAUCGUGCCAGAACUUCAGUUUGUUGUAUUAGCUUCAAUAUACUGCUCCCACUGCACUGAUUUGGAUGCCCUGGAAAUAGCAGCUGUGCCUAACUUGGUGCCAAUUGCAGCAAAGGCCAGUCUCAAAUACAGGUGGAGAAGGCACUGGUGGUGGCUUAAAGCACUCAGAUGAGCAAGGACAGGA